rnacentral:rRNA from 1 species
GACGAACGCUGGCGGCGUGCCUAAUACAUGCAAGUCGAGCGGAAGUUGAAGAGCUUGCUCUUCAACUUUAGCGGCGGACGGGUGAGUAACACGUGGGCAACCUGCCCUGCAGAUCGGGAUAACUCCGGGAAACCGGUGCUAAUACCGAAUAGUUUUCGCCACCUCCUGGUGGCGUACGGAAAGACGGUUUCGGCUGUUCCUGCAGGCUGGGCCCGCGGCGCAUUAGCUAGUUGGUGGGGUAACGGCCCACCAAGGCGACGAUGCGUAGCCGACCUGAGAGGGUGAUCGGCCACACUGGGACUGAGACACGGCCCAGACUCCUACGGGAGGCAGCAGUAGGGAAUCUUCCGCAAUGGACGAAAGUCUGACGGAGCAACGCCGCGUGAGUGACGAAGGUUUUCGGAUCGUAAAACUCUGUUGUGAGGGAAGAACAAGUACCAACUAACUACUGGUACCUUGACGGUACCUCACCAGAAAGCCACGGCUAACUACGUGCCAGCCGCCGCUGUAAAAC